rnacentral:lncRNA from 1 species
CAGCUGCAGCCCAGCCCUGAAAGGAGUUCGUUGUUCUUUUGUUUAUGGUGAUAUAUAGAACAUUAAUUCGUAAAUUGCUAUUAAUCUUUGCAAAUGAUCCUCAUACCUGUGCCUCAAAGUUGCUAGGCUAAAGAGCUUUUCGCCUAAAAUUUCAGACGAGGCAUAAUUUGUGUUCUCUUCUAUUAUCAAUCUUUUUAAUGCGUGGUCAUGUAGAUUGAGAGAUUGAUUAAUUGCUGACGAGCUAUACUGUUAUUUUAGGUAACAAAUGACAUAUUCACAAAAGAGGAUGGCGAGUUCUUGAUUAAGCAUGGAGCACUUCCUGAGGAGAGGAUCCGUGCUGUUGAAACUGGAGGCUGCCCACACGCUGCAAUUCGUGAAGAUAUCAGCAUUAACCUUGGCCCUCUGGAGGAGCUUUCUAACUUGUUCAAAGCAGACCUUCUUCUUUGUGAAUCUGGUGGAGGUAACUCAAUACUGAAUACCACCAUACAUAUUUAAUUGGCUGUAAACUGACAUUAAAUUGAUGAUCGCUGCACAUCAAAGUUAAUUUUAUUGUAUAUUACUCCAGGCAAGUGGUUUUUAUUCAUGUUAGGAUAUCAGAAGUUAGAUAGUGAUGAAGAAUUUUGGCAGUUCUAUUUCUAACAUGUUGACAGAUGAGUUUUAGUAAUAAGAGUACUGCUGCCUUACAAAUUUAUUUGUAUACACUUAUGUAUCGAUUAGCAAAGGAAAACAUCUACUUGAACUUGUAUGGUGCAGAUAAUUUGGCUGCCAACUUCAGCAGGGAACUGGCUGACUAUAUCAUCUAUAUAAUAGAUGUAUCUGGCGGUGAUAAAAUUCCUCGGAAAGGUGGCCCAGGCAUCACCCAAGCUGAUCUCCUUGUAUGUUUUCUCAUUCUCAUAGCUGCUUCUUCUGUUCCCAAUCUCUCAGAAUCAAUCUUGUUGGCCAAGUUUAGAAAUGUAAAAUUACCAGGAAGUCCGAGUUAAUUGUGUACAAUCGUAGGUUAUCAACAAGACUGACCUUGCACCAGCAGUUGGAGCUGACUUAGUUGUGAUGGAGCGUGAUGCACUUAGAAUGCGGGAUGGAGGGCCAUUUGUUUUUGCCCAGGUCAGUUUCUCAUGUUUGAUUGCAUUUGUUUAUGGCGAGCGUGCGACAAUCUUGUAAUUUGUAGUCUAAAGCUUUGGAAGAUACAAGAUAGAAUAGGAGAUCAAUUUUAAUAAAAGAAAAGAUAUGAAUUAGGAGAUCAAUCCUAAGAAAAGAAAAGAAAUGAAACAAUACAAAUGGAAUCUUAAGCGCACGCCAAAUUUCACCAACCCAGUUUGUGUUUGAAGUGCCAGACCACACUGCUUGCGAUACGGGUUCUUUCUAAGUAGAAGCAGGGAGGCAUUGUUGUAUGCUUGUGAUGUUGUAGUACAGGAAAGAAUGCAAUAGAGAGAGUUAGAGAUGGUGUAAACAGUGUUGACAGCUGAGAACAUUGUGGCAGGGGUCACUUGAGCAAAGGUGGAGGGUACUAUCACCAAGUCUCUCCAAUGCUGAGGGAUUGCGCGUGCUGCCAUCUGAUCGGGGUAUGUCUCUAGAGUAUUCAUGGAGCACCCCAGAAUGAAUUAGGGUUGCCACCCUAGACAAUGCUCAAGUCUUCACCCUUCACCAUGUUAUCCCCUGUCCAGAUUGUCCGCUCCUCCUCCCAUAUCUUUCUCUGUUGCUUCCUACAAUGCAGCAUCACUAGUAAAGAAUGAUAUCUACACAGUCAAAAGAGGGUCUAUAGGUGCCUUUUAGGGUCUUUAAGUCCAGUCUACACACUCAUGCGCGCACACAAAACAUAAUAGGUGAAUCACAAUUGCUGUAUAACAUGUGGGCUUAUAAGAAAUGCUAUGCAGAUUUCUGAACAAUGAAUUGAUCUAUUUUACUGGUUUGUUUGGAAAUAUACGUAAUCCGUAUAUUCUGGUGUACAGCUGGACAUUCCCCUUCCAAUUGGCCAUGGCAUAUUUAGUGAAACAAAUAGCUCUACCUCAAGAAGAUAUUCUUUUCUUUCUUCUGCUGUUGUUUAUGGAAUCUAGCCUUUUUGAGAUUAUAGUAGAUGGUUGCUUCACAAUUCUCUCUUCCGAGUAUGGCUCGUGUUUUGGUUAUCCUUUAGUUACAGACACCCUGCCCUAUCCAACUAUUCAACGCUUGUUAACACCAAUGCUUUUGGACAUGUCAUCUUCUCAUAUAUUUGGUUCUUGAACGAUUUAAUUCUUUAGUCUGCCAGGCCGUGAGCUGCUCUGUAUACAGUGAGACAACCUAUGUCUAUAACCUUUCUCUUAAAGUUGCUCUUAUUUCCUUUGCUGUUCAUAAUGUACCUGCAGGUGAAGCAUGGACUUGGCAUAGAGGAAAUUGUGAACCACAUUUUACAAGGUUGGGAAGUGGCUACCGGGAAAAAGCGCCAUUAACCUGAUGCAUCCGAAGGUUGACCUGGCAUGUCUCUGUCUCAAUCUGGUUUCAGUGACUUCUUAAUUUGGUGCUUUCUUGAGUCUUUAUUAGAAGUAAGAGUGAUAAUAUCGGUAUUGCAUGUUUAGUUGAAGGGAGUUGAGAGCAUGAAAUAAGUGAAUCAGAUUGCAAUAAUUGAUUGCUUUAUGUAUCGAUCACAAGAAGCCUUGUAUUAUAGCAUCGAUACAACUAUCAGAGCAUGGUGCCAUGCAACAUGACCUUUUAUCUCAUUGUUUUAAGGCAGUACUAGUUAUGUGACCUGCUUUCCGCCGCAUGUUAAAUAUUUUUAUUUUUUAUAAAAAAUUAUUUAUAUAGAUUUUUUUGACAUAUUUUGAUAGUUUUUUAAAAAAUAUAAUAAAUUAAAAAUAUAUUUUCAUGAAAACUAUAGUUAUCAAACUCGAUCUAGAGGUUGAACCAACCAAGGGGUUGGAUCCUGGGUUACACGAGUUGACUCGGGUCAAGCUAGGGAAAUUGAAUUUUUUUUUUUGAGAUUUUAAUGUUUUAUAUGAAAAAAUUAUAAAGAUUAUAUAUGUAAACAAUUAAGUUUAAAAGAUUAACUCAAAAGGUUUUUUAUCUCACAUUGAAAAGAUACUAUUUUAUUCUUCUAAGUUAAAGUAUUAAAUUUUUUUUUUAUCCCAUAUUAAAAAAACAUAACUUUUUCUUGUGAAUAUAGAGUAUAUAUACUAAAUGGUUUCAAAUUUCACAUUGAAAAAAUAAAACAUUCUUCUAGUAUUUAUAUAAUGAACUUUGAAUUGAGUUUAGUAAUAAAUUGAAAAAUAUAUAAAAAAAAAGGUUUCGAAAAAAUAAUUUGAAAAAAAAGGGAUUUUACCAGGUUUUUUCCGGGUCGCUUGAGUUUCGGAUUGACCUAGCGGGUUUGUCCUAUUAGGUCAUGGUGGAAGUAGGGCCCAACUUUAGUGGAUCAUGCUCGUAGCUCUAUGCCCACCACUGUUGAUUCCUGCUGAUAACAACACCCAGCAGAAAUGGAUCUUGUUCGCUGUGUUGGGCCUAUCAAUACGAGGUUCUAGUGAAGGCAGGAUCCAACUUUAAUGAGUCAUGUUUCAGCUGGGCCCAUCGUUUCUAGGCACCCAGACCCAUUAUUAUUGGGUCUAGGCAGAGGGACCCAACAACUAGGUAUUCAUCUGGGCCUAACAUUAUUGGGUUAUGCUUGAUAAGAGGAUCUAAUAAUUGGGUAUCCAUUUAGGCCUAGUGUUGCUGGGCAACAUGGCUUAACAUCAUUGGGUUGUACUUGACAGAAAGACCCAACAUCAUUAGGUCAUACUAGGUAUAAUGACCCAUAAGUUAGGUACCCAUUUGAGCUUACAGUUGCUGGGUCCUAGUGCACCCAGACCCACUAUCAUUAGGUCUCGCGGUAGUGUCAGAAUCAAUAAACUUGAGUCGUUGCAGAAAGAUUUAAUAAUUGGGUAUGCAUAUAGGACCAGUGUUGCCAGGCAACAGAGCCCAACAUUAUUGGGUCAUGCUUGGCAAAAGAACCCAACAUGUUGGUAUCCAUCUAGGCCCAACGCUACUAUGCAACAAUGAUCAACAUCAUCGAGUUAUGCUUGACAAAAGAACCCAGUAUCAUUGAGUUAUGCUUGACAUAAUGACCCAGCAACUGGGUACCUAUAUAGGCUCGCAUCAUUAGGCCAUGCUUGUUAGAAGAACCCAAUAACAUUAGGUCUUACAAGACAACAUGACCUAGUGUUAUUGAGUCAUGUUUGACAGAACGACAUAGCAACAUUGGUCUAAAAUAAUAUUAUAUUAUAGUAUUUAUGAAUUUUUUUAAUCGGUUUUAUUGUUAAAAAAUUAUCUUUUAUAAUUCAAUAUAAAGUAUAUUAUGUGAAUAAAAAAAUUUAUUUAAAGCUCCAUGAACUUUAAUAUGAAAAUAUUAGAAUUAUAAUUUUUCUAAAUGCUUUUAUUUUUAUUAUUAUUUUUAAAGAAAAAUUUGAGAGGAAUAAAAAAUAAAAAUCUUAAUUUGAAGUAAAGAAAAAAAUCAAUUAUUAUUAUUAUUAUUUUUAAAAGUAUUUUUGAAAGGCAAAAAUAAACAUGCUUUAAUAAAAAAAUCCAACCUAAUCUUAAAUGAAAAAAAAAUUCCACUAUCUAAUUUUUGUACAAUAUAAAAAAAUUUCUCAUUUAUUUAUAUGCCUUUUAUCAUAUGAAAAAAAUAAAAAUAAAAUCUGAGGUCUUGAUAGGGGCAAAACCCAACUUUAAUCCAUCUAACAAAACCCAACACGAUUAAAUUCCAAGUAUCCCACACUAUUAGAUCCUACUUCAAUAACAAAGCAACCCUUUAGACCCCAGACGCGUAUAUAUUUAAAUGACAUUCAGGUUCUUCAAGAGUACAAUUAAGUUUCUAAUUUUAUCAAAGAUUCAGCUUAAUUCUUCCCUUUCAAAUGUAUGCAUUUAAAUCACUCGUCAAUCUAUUUGCCAACAGAAUUGCUUGUAUUUUUUAUAAAAAAAAUGGAAAAAAAUUGAAAACACAGAAUUAGGUUAUAAAAGUAUCUUUUCGUUAUUAUCUAAAAACAAAUGAUAAAAGGAUAAGAGUUUUUUUAUACUUUUUACAUGAGAGAUGUGUCCUGUAGUAUCCCCGUAUAUUUUAGUAACAAAAUUUUUUAUCGAAAUAAAAAAUAGCAGAGAGAAGAUAAUUCGUAGCCAGGGAGAUUAUUGAAGCAGAAUAGCUUGCUGUCAUGGUCAACAUUUCCAAUGAGUUGUUAACUUCCAUGGCAAAUUCAUUUCGUUUUGAUUUUGUGAUUUGCAAAAAUAAAAAAAAAAAAAACUCGGAGAGAUAAAGUGUGCGGCCAGGACGUCACUAGUUGUCUCAAAAUUGUGCCCUGGCCUCUCAAUUUCGUAAUUCAGGUGAUUAUUUCUUUACCUUUUCAGUAACUUUGCUUCUACUUUAGAAACCCUAGAAUUGGGGUGCAAUGUUGAAUUUUUGAAAAUCAUGCGUGAUUGAAGCGAAAUUAGGGUUUGUUUGUUCGGGGCAAUCUUUUUUGUUCCGUGUUUUGAUUAAAUUGUCUUCUCAGUUUUACACCUUUGUCUAGCAUGGUUUUUCAGCACUCAUUUUUCCAUGGUGUGAUGCAUUGCUGUUAAGUUGCUCUAAAUGCAAGUUCUUUUUUUCCUGUUUUCUAUUUUGAAGAAAUAAUUUUGAAGCUGCUGUAAAAUUGAUCUAAAUGCAUGCUCACUGAAUUCUUUUUCUAUUUUGGAGAAAUAAUUUUGAAGCUGCUGCAUAAAUUUCUUUUCCUGCAUAUUUUCUUGUAUGCAGUACUUAUUUACUGGGUCAGUUCAUGGACACAAGCAUGUUGAUGUCAUACUCUGCCUCCGAAGCUCAUCGAGCUUGUGGAACAACGGUGAAAUAUAUAAUAUUAAGACAUCUUAAUUUGUUGUGAUGAGAUGUUGAUGUUUGAUAGCUUUUGUCACAUUACCUUUCUGAUAUAGAUGUCUUUCAUUAUGCUUUUACAAUCUCACUUUCUCUGUUGUCGCUGCUGCUGUGAUAUGGUCCCAGAAAAGAAAAAAAACUAUGGCUUCUCUGUCCCCUUCCACAAAUUUGUUCCAGCAACCGUUUAAUCGGAAGCUGCAAACAAAGUCGAGAGUGACACCGAGCUGUGCAUCCAGGCCUGAAACCAAAUCCAAUUUCCCUUCCUCUUCCACAAACAAUAAUGUUGCUAUAGGUAGGAGUGAGAGAGGAGAGAUGACGAGAAGGGAAAUAGAGUGGGAAAAGCUGAAGAAGAAAGAAGAGAAAGAGAGAAAAGAAGAGGUUAACAGGAAAAUUGCGUCACAGAAGGCGAUAUCUGUGAUUCUGCGAAGAGAGGCUACUAAAGCUGUAAUUGAGAAGAAAAGAGGUCCUACUAAUUCAAAGAAGUUGCUUCCGCAAACUGUCCUUGAAGCUCUUCAUGAAAGAAUCACAGCAUUGCGCUGGGCUUCUGCUCUCGAGGUUGGUGGGUCUAUCCUUUCAGUUUAUUUAUUUAUUUUGUGGUCUUCUGCCUUUGUUUAUUUAUUGAGAUUUUUUUGGUCUUGGGAGGUCCAUUGAGUCUUAGGCUAGAUGUAGCCCCCCCUAAUAAACUGGAGUCACUGAGGCUGGAACCUGCUUCACUCAAGGAAAUUUUACUGGGUACACAACUGCUCGCUAGGCCAUGCUUUUUCUUGUCAUUGGGAAUUUUAUUUAGUUUGUAUGUUUCAUGGAAUUUAUUACAUUGCCAUCCAAACUGUAUUUUUGAUCCUUCAUUUCCCUUCUUGUAUAAUAUAAGUGUGCUUGGGGAUGGAACUAUUUUCAAAGUGAUUUGUCCAGUUGAACAUAUUUGCUCUUAGUAUUUGAACUACAAUCACAGUAAAGUAGAGGACUUGAUGAUUAUGGUCAGGUUUUUGAACUACUUCGAGAGCAGCUAUGGUACAGGCCUUAUGCUGGUAUGUAUGUCAAACUCAUCGUCAUGCUCGGAAAGUGUAAACAACCAGACAAGGCCCACCAACUAUUUCAAGCUAUGAUUGAUGAAGGCUGUGCUGUGACUCAUGAAUCCUACACGGCUCUUUUGUCUGCCUAUGGAAGAAGUGGUCUCUUUGACAAAGCAUUUUCUAUUAUGGAGGAAAUGAAAAACACUCCUGAUUGCCGACCUGAUGUCCACACUUAUUCAAUCCUCAUAAAAUCAUGCCUCCAAGUUUUUGCCUUUGACAAAGUGCAGGUGCUGCUUUCUGACAUGGAAUCUUUGGGAAUCAGACCCAACACAGUCACGUACAAUACUCUCAUCGAUGCCUAUGGCAAAGCAAAAAUGUAACUCAGCUACUCUGUUUGGUACCUUUAAGUUUUUUGAUGCUCCAUCUGGUUGCCAAGAAUGCAAUGGGAAAAGAGUAUUGAUCUUAACUUCCCAUGAGCUAGUCCACUGAAAGCAUCAAAGCAAAGUGCAGGGAAAAAAUAUUGCCUCACUUUUUCAGGAUAUUUCAGUUCCUUUAGAUGGGAGGAGAAAGGCAGUCACUGUGCAUCUGAUAAUUGAACGGUUGUUACCCAUUGUCUCCAGCUCUCUAUUGCACCCUCUUUCGCAAUUCUGAUUCAACGCUUCCUUUGCUGCCAUUUUUCGCUGGUUUUGUUUAUCUUUCAUGCAUUUGUCACCUAAUCCAUAUGGGAAGCAAUUGGUUUUGGUGUUUUUGGCAACCAGAUGGAGCGUGAUAUUACUACUCCAUUGUGGAGAUGCAACUCAUUGUUUCUACUUUCUAAAGGUUUGCAGAGAUGGAAGGAACGCUAAUGGAGAUGUUGAGUCAGCAGGAUUGUGAACCUGAUGUUUGGACCAUGAACUCAACAAUCAGAGCCUUUGGUGGCAGUGGACAAAUGGAAAUGAUGGAGAAUUGUUAUGAGAAGUUUCAGAGUGCUGGGAUUGAACCCAAUAUUAAGACAUUCAACAUUCUCUUGGAUUCCUAUGGAAAAGCUGGAAACUACCAGAAAAUGAGUGCAGUCAUGGAAUACAUGCAAAGAUACCACUACUCGUGGACCAUUGUUACCUACAAUGUGGUGAUAGAUGCAUUUGGACGAGCAGGGGAUUUAAAACAGAUGGAGUAUUUGUUUAGGCUAAUGCGGUCAGAGAGGAUCAAGCCAAGUUGUGUUACACUUUGCUCUCUAGUGCGAGCUUAUCGGGAAGCUGGGAAACCUGAGAAAAUUGGGAGUGUUCUUCGUUUCAUUGAGAAUUCAGAUGUAACUUUGGAUACUGUGUUUUUUAAUUGUUUAGUGGAUGCAUAUGGUAGGCUGGAAUGCUUUGCAGAGAUGAAAGAAGUGCUUGAGUUGAUGGAGGAGAAAGGGUGUAAGCCUGAUAAAGUUACAUAUAGAACAAUGAUUAAAGCUUAUUCCAUAAAGGGGAUGACUAGCCACGCGAAGAAGCUUCGAAACCUUCUUGGAUCAGUUGAGGUGACUCGGUUUCAGAAGAAGAAACCUGAUUUUUGAUGGGAAUUGCUCUCUUUGUAUCCUAUAUUCAUGUCCAUAAUCUGUUCGCAUGUGAUACCAUUUUUGUGUGUGCAUCUGCAGAUUCUGCUCAACAAAAAAAGUUCCAUUAUUAAGCAUUUUGUCUGUAAUGUACACUGAUUUUAAAGAAAGCAAGAGAAGGGAAAGAUUCUGAAGUUAAUGUAGACUGCUUGAGUUAGAUGCAAUCUCAGAAGUUGAUACUUAACUAUUAAAAAUUGCUGAGAGAGAGACAACAGAGGAGAGGACGUACAAGAGUUUUCUGUGAGAGAACUUGAGAUUGUGCUUGUCUGAGUUCCUAAAUGUUUUUUUAAACACAAGAGACAAGUUGGGAAGACAUUCUCAUCAGAAUCUAAGAGGGUCUCUGCACUGAUUGGCAGGUUUAUUGGAAGUCGAUGAAAAUCAACACGAACCCUAACUUUUUAGAGAACUUGUUUGUGUUGAUAAUCAUCAGCCUGAAAUGUAUUCUGUGUUUUAAUUGUUUCCUAUUAAGUGAAUGAACCAUUGGGUUUUAGCUAACAAAAUGAGAGAUAUAUAAUCUUAAUUGUUUGAAUAAUUCUGAGUGUGGAUAGAAUUCCAUUAACAUGGAAAUAAAUAAUUGUAUUAUAUUUUUAAGUUACUUAAAUUAUAUAUAAUUUUUUACUUAGACAAUGUAUGGAAAAAAAUAUUUAUAUCACUGUUCAAGUUUAUUUUAUAUUUUUUUCUUGUGCCAUACAUUGUGCCAUACUUGUGCCUCAAAGUUGCUAGAAUAAGUUUUUUGCCUAAAAUUUCAGAAGAAAAUAACGCGGGCUCAACUAAGAGCUUUUCACCUAAAAUUUUCAGAUGAGGCAUAAUUUGUGUUCUCUUCUAUCAUCAAUCGUUUUAAAUGCAUGGUC